rnacentral:lncRNA from 1 species
UGGGUACAAAUUGAAUCUUAGCAAGGAUUGAUGUAAUUAUAUAUAGAAAAUUUAGUUAUAGAAAAGUAUAUACAAUUUUGAGCAUACUAAAUACACCUUGAUAAGAGAUAAUUUUAUAACAUAUAUAUAUAAUGUGCUGUCUCAACAUUGAUUUUAGUUCUCAAAUUCUUCUUUAGCAGUUGAAUUAUGCAUGCUUCAAGAUUUGGGUAUUAUAGUCCUCCUUUUCUUCAUAGGGAAUAAGAUUGAGUUGAACAAUGGAAUUGUCUUCCGGAUCAUCCAUUGUUUCAAUAUACAUACAACAACACCAUUCUAAGGAAGCAAAAAAGGUAGCUGCCACACUAUGAUAGACCCACGCUGCCACUCCAACACCAUCAUGCUUUUUGCACGUGCUUGAUGAAUUCUUGACUUUUGUCCCUUUGGAAAAGCAUGUCUUGGUGCAGCUCAUCGCAGACCCGAAAUUUACCUCUUUUGACUGAUUUAUUAACUUAGCAAGGUUGAUUGAAGAAUGAAGUUAUAAUUAUUUGAUUAAUUCAUUUUUAGUUGUAACUAAUAAGCUCCCUAAUCCACAAGUUUAGUAGAAAAGGG